GCCAGCAGUCAUAUCACCCUGCAACUCACAACUGGCAACCCACUGAAGCUAAGCAGGUGUGAGACUAGUCAGUACCUGGAUGGGAGACCUCCUGGGUAAAACUUAAGGUUGCUGCUGGAA
rnacentral:rRNA from 1 species